rnacentral:ncRNA from 12 species
GGUAGAUGGCGGAAUCGGUAGACGCACCACAUUCAAAAUGUAGCGAUUAAAAUCGUGAGGGUUCGAGUCCCUCUCUAC